rnacentral:rRNA from 1 species
AUUGAACGCUGGCGGCAUGCCUUACACAUGCAAGUCGAACGGCAGCACGGGGCAACCUGGUGGCGAGUGGCGAACGGGUGAGUAAUGCAUCGGAACGUACCUUUCAGUGGGGGAUAACGUAGCGAAGGUUACGCUAAUACCGCAUAUUCUGUGAGCAGGAAAGCAGGGGAUCGCAAGACCUUGCGCUGAUUGAGCGGCCGAUGUCAGAUUAGCUAGUUGGUGAGGUAAAGGCUCACAAAGGCGACGAUCUGUAGCGGGUCUGAGAGGAUGAUCCGCCACACUGGAACUGAGACACGGUCCAGACUCCUACGGGAGGCAGCAGUGGGGAAUUUUGGACAAUGGGGGCAACCCUGAUCCAGCCAUGCCGCGUGAGUGAAGAAGGCCUUCGGGUUGUAAAGCUCUUUCGGCCGGGAAGAAAUCGCACGGGCUAAUACCCUGAGUGGAUGACGGUACCGGAAUAAGAAGCACCGGCUAACUACGUGCCAGCCGCCGCAGUAAUAC